CAUGGUGCCAACAGCAUGGGGAGGGACAUUUCUGGGAGCUGCUGUGUGGAGGGACGUGCAAGGCGUUGGUGGGCCUUGGCUUGUGAGGAGCUCAGGCCUUUCUCAGGACCUCCUGGAGGAGCUGUGUAACCCCUCCACUGCCCUCCCAGCAGCAGCUGAGCAUGCAGCCCAAAGUCCCAGCACAUGGGAGCCCUGACAUUCAUCUCUUUUCU